rnacentral:rRNA from 1 species
GCGGCGGCUACACAUGCAUGUCGAGCGCGCCUUCGGGUGAGCGGCGGACGGGUUAGUAACGCGUGGGAACGUGCCCUUCUCUACGGAAUAGCCUCUGGAAACGGAGAGUAAUACCGUAUACGCCCUUUGGGGGAAAGAUUUAUCGGAGAAGGAUCGGCCCGCGUUAGAUUACGUAGUUGGUGGGGUAACGGCCUACCAAGCCUACGAUCUAUAGCUGGUUUUAGAGGAUGAUCAGCAACACUGGGACUGAGACACGGCCCAGACUCCUACGGGAGGCAGCAGUGGGGAAUCUUAGACAAUGGGGGCAACCCUGAUCUAGCCAUGCCGCGUGAGUGAUGAAGGCCUUAGGGUCGUAAAGCUCUUUCGCCUGUGAUGAUAAUGACAGUAGCAGGUAAAGAAACCCCGGCUAACUCCGUGCCAGCAGCCGCGGUAAUACGGAGGGGGUUAGCGUUGUUCGGAAUUACUGGGCGUAAAGCGCGCGUAGGCGGAUUAGAAAGUUGGGGGUGAAAUCCCGGGGCUCAACCCCGGAACUGCCUCCAAAACUGCUAGUCUAGAGUUCGGGAGAGGUGAGUGGAAUCCCGAGUGUAGAGGUGAAAUUCGUAGAUAUUCGGAGGAACACCAGUGGCGAAGGCGGCUCACUGGCUCGAUACUGACGCUGAGGU